rnacentral:rRNA from 1 species
UACACUCCUACGGGAGGCAGCAGUGGGGAAUAUUGGACAAUGGGCGCAAGCCUGAUCCAGCCAUGCCGCGUGAGUGAUGAAGGCCCUAGGGUUGUAAAGCUCUUUCACCGGUGAAGAUAAUGACGGUAACCGGAGAAGAAGCCCCGGCUAACUUCGUGCCAGCAGCCGCGGUAAUACGAAGGGGGCUAGCGUUGUUCGGAUUUACUGGGCGUAAAGCGCACGUAGGCGGACUAUUAAGUCAGGGGUGAAAUCCCGGGGCUUAACCCCGGAACUGCCUUUGAUACUGGUAGUCUUGAGUUCGAGAGAGGUGAGUGGAAUUCCGAGUGUAGAGGUGAAAUUCGUAGAUAUUCGGAGGAACACCAGUGGCGAAGGCGGCUCACUGGCUCGAUACUGACGCUGAGGUGCGAAAGCGUGGGGAGCAAACAGGAUUAGAUACCCUUGUAGUCCCAUG